AGCAGCCGCGGUAAUUCCAGCUCCAAUAGCGUAUAUUAAAGUUGUUGCAGUUAAAAAGCUCGUAGUUGAAUUUCGGGGUCAAUACGUCGGUCGUGCCUCGGUACGCACUAACGUUAUUGAUUCCUCCCUUCUGACGAACCGUGAUGUCAUUAAUUUGGUGUUGCGGGGAAUCAGGACUGUUACCUUGUAAAAAUUAGAGUGUUUAAAGCAGGCAAUCGCUCGAAUACAUUAGCAUGGAAUAAUGAAAUAGGACGUUCGAACCUAUUUUGUUGGUUUCUAGGAUCGACGUAAUGAUUAAUAGGGAUAGUUGGGGGCAUUAGUAUUCAAUUGUCAGAGGCGAAAUUCUUGGAUUUAUUGAAGACUAACUACUGCGAAAGCAUUUGCCAAGGAUGUUUUCAUUAAUCAAGAACGAAAGUUAGGGGAUCGAAGACGAUCAGAUACCGUCGUAGUCUUAACCAUAAACUAUGCCGACUAGGGAUCGGAUGAUGUUAAUUUUUUAAUGACUCAUUCGGCGCCUUACG
rnacentral:rRNA from 1 species